GAUGAACGCUGGCGGCGUGCCUAAUACAUGCAAGUCGAGCGAACGGACGAGAAGCUUGCUUCUCUGAUGUUAGCGGCGGACGGGUGAGUAACACGUGGAUAACCUACCUAUAAGACUGGGAUAACUUCGGGAAACCGGAGCUAAUACCGGAUAAUAUUUUGAACCGCAUGGUUCAAAAGUGAAAGACGGUCUUGCUGUCACUUAUAGAUGGAUCCGCUCUGCAUUAGCUAGUUGGUAAGGUAACGGCUUACCAAGGCAACGAUGCAUAGCCGACCUGAGAGGGUGAUCGGCCACACUGGAACUGAGACACGGUCCAGACUCCUACGGGAGGCAGCAGUAGGGAAUCUUCCGCAAUGGGCGAAAGCCUGACGGAGCAACGCCGCGUGAGUGAUGAAGGUCUUCGGAUCGUAAAACUCUGUUAUUAGGGAAGAACAUAUGUGUAAGUAACUGUGCACAUCUUGACGGUACCUAAUCAGAAAGCAACGGCUAACUACGUG
rnacentral:rRNA from 1 species